rnacentral:rRNA from 1 species
CCUACGGGAGGCAGCAGUGGGGAAUAUUGGGCAAUGGAGGAAACUCUGACCCAGCAACGCCGCGUGAAUGAUGAAGGUCUUCGGAUUGUAAAGUUCUUUUCUAAGGGAAGAAGAAAGUGACGGUACCUUAGGAAUAAGCCUCGGCUAACUACGUGCCAGCAGCCGCGGUAAUACGUAGGAGGCAAGCGUUAUCCGGAAGGACUGGGCGUAAAGGGUGCGUAGGUGGUUUGACAAGUUGGUAGCGUAACUCCGAGGCUUAACCUCGGCACUACUACCAAAACUGUUGGAUGCGAGUGCAGGAGGGGCAAAUGGAAUUCCUAGGGGAGCGGUGGAAUGCGUAGAUAUUAGGAGGAACACCAGUGGCGAAGGCGAUUUGCUGGACUGUAACUGACACUGAGGCACGAAAGCGUGGGGAGCAAACAGGAUUAGAUACCCCAGUAGUC